rnacentral:rRNA from 1 species
UAUGGAGGGUGCAAGCGUUAUCCGGAUUCACUGGGUUUAAAGGGUGCGUAGGAGGGCAGGUAAGUCAGUGGUGAAAUCUCCGAGCUUAACUUGGAACUGCCGUUGAUACUAUCUGUCUUGAAUAUUGUGGAGGUGAGCGGAAUAUGUCAUGUAGCGGUGAAAUGCUUAGAUAUGACAUAGAACACCAAUUGCGAAGGCAGCUCGCUACACAUAUAUUGACUCUGAGGCACGAAAGCGUGGGGAUCAAACAGG